UAAUAUGAAGUCAUUAAUACUAGAGGACAGUCAGGUGAGUUAAAUGUUGACGUUUAUGUGACAAAGGAGGACUCAGGCCUCAUGGGAGUUUGACCCAGAUCCUUGAGAGUGCGCAUGGUCUUCAAGCACCUUGUUGUCAACUAUGAGUGUAUUUCUACUUUCUGGUCUGAUUUGGCCUGAGUGUUUUAAGAAAUACUUAACGUCAAACUGCUGAGAUGUGUCCCUGAUCGUUACCUCACCCUGUUUCCUCACUUCGACAUGAGAAGGCGGACGGCUUCGUAACUGCACCGCACAAUAAAUCCUGAUGAAGCCUCUGUGUUUGUUCUGUACCUGUAUAAAAGCAGUUCUGGAUCGUAGCAGCGCUACAACAUCCACCGUCCUCCACACUGUCUGCUGACCCUGUGAAGACUUGGCUUGAAACCAUGCUGAAGGUAGUGUUCAUGCUGUGCGGCCUCCUGUGCCUCACUCUGGCUGAGCCUAUGGAUGAGAAGGUGCUUGAACGUCAUGCACGCUCACAUGGCUCUGACUCUAACUCCAUUGAGCAUUUACCUAAACCUAAGCCUAAUCCUAAUCCUAACGUGCCUGCCAAUGAUCCAUAUUUCAAGAUGUUGCAGGACAUUUUUGCCUUUUUGGCCAAACUGCCAACUCCACCACCUCCUGCUACUACUACUACUGCAGCAGCUACCUCCACCACAGCUGCCUCCACCACAGCCACUGCUAAACCUGCUACUACAUAAAAUCUUAAACAUAGAGCACUAAAUGAAUGUGUUACCAGCUAACAUGUCUUAACGAAUCAAGAUAAACUGAUCUGUAAUAUCUGCUGAAUAAAGAAGAGAAAAGGAAAAAAUGUCUAAGUGUG
rnacentral:lncRNA from 1 species